AAUUCAUUUUCGGAUAGCCGCACGACCGUUUAGGAUAGCCGCACAACCGACAGGAUAGCCGCACAACCGUACAGGAUAGCCGCACAACCAUACAGGAUAGCCGCACAACCACUUAGGAUAGCCGCACAACCACUUAGGAUAGCCGCACAACCACUUCGGCAGCCGUGACAUUAUCAUGCUUUCAUUAAAAAAAUGGCUACCAAGCGGAUGCCAUGCGAUGACUCUGGCCAGUGUAUUCGAAAAGUUUAACAACUGUAGCUAACCAUUUGUUUAAUGUUCAACGGAAGCUGUUGUAUUUAAACUUUUAAAGAAAUAAGGGUUACUAAUUUUUAAUCACAGAUUACACUUCUGUAGCUUUAAUCUUCUGUUAAGUAUUUGCAGCUGUGAUGGGAAGAUCUGUCUUGGAUAUAUGCAAAAUAUCAAAUGUCUUCUGCUGAUAAUUUAUGAUAGCUAGCUAGCUGGCUAGCUAACUAUAUAUAUUUAUAGAUUUAUUUUUUUCUUGAACUUUAUUGAAAGUAGCUAGGUAGCUAGCUAGCUAGCUAUAGCUACAUAUACAAUAAUAUAGCUAGCUAUAGCUAGCUGUAACAGUUUGAUUAUAGUUGCAGAAUUAUAAGUUAUUCCUUACCACGAACUUAUUUCUGAAGCUGAAAAUUAUUGCUGUAAAAAUUUUGAGAUUUCUUGAUCAGGAAAUCUUUCUGAAAGUUUUUUUGAUUAAACACGAAAAUGAAUGCGGGCUAGCUAGCUAGCUAGCUAUUUAAGGGCUGAAAAUUAAGAGCUGAACUCUCAUGAUAAUUGCAUGCAAAAUGCUUGUAAAAUUUUAAAAACAUUAGCAAAUUUUUUUGAUUAUUUCAGUAUUUCGGGGACCAUGCACUAUUGCUGCAGAAACCAUAAAAGCUAAAACUUUUUCCUUUUUAAAUAGUAUUUUUUUCUCUAUAUAAAAUAAUAUCCACUUCUGUACGGGUUAGCAAAUAAAAAAAGGUGUGUGUGUGUGUAUCAGUAUACUUGAUAUCAGUAUAUAUUUGAUUAGUUUGGCCAAACUCUCUUGUUAUCCAUUAUAUAUAAAUUAAAAUGGAUAAAUAAAUAUGGCACAGCUAAUAAUAAACAAAGUGGAAAAAGUAAUCUUUCCCUGAUGCUUCUGUAUAUAGCUAGCUGAAAAUUUUAAAAAUAUUUUGAGCAUUCUAUGCGCAAAGUGCUCAAGAUAAAGUUUUUAUGCGCAACAACUUAUGAAUAAAGUUAAAAUGAAUCUUCCUAAAUUUGAAGUAUCAAAAUGAAGUAUAAUGUAACAGGUAUAUAUACCUGAAAUUGAUCUAUGUUUAGAUUAUUUUUUAAAUUUUUCGUUAUUUUUAUAACUUCCAGGUGUCAACUUGACUCUAGUUCAUUUGUGGUUUAUUUUUCUAAGAUUUUAAGUUACAAAAGAGCCCGUAAUGUAUAUGUAAAGUAUAUUUUUUUACUGUAUAUACUUCGGUGUUAUGUUUGGUGUGGUAAAGUAAAAAUUUUUUAUCUGAAAAUUGACAAAAGUAUUCUUGGGCAGUUGAUAUGUACAUUUAAGAUGUAAUAACCAAUAUUUAUAGGCAUUGAUGUGGACUAGAUAUAUGACAUUUAGACAAGAUGGUAGACAGAGACACAGGACAUAACAUAAAAAAAUAUGGAAAUAUUUAAUGUAAAGAUGACACGAUAACAUAUAGAAAUGUAGGCUAGUGAUGGCCAGGCAGCCUCUCGAAAUUAACUUUUUUUUAUCAUAUCCACUGAAAAAAAUUCAAGCUAUGUUCUAUAACUAUUAUUUAAUCUUGUUUUUACUGACACAGCGUUGUUAAAGUGUGCAGUGAAAGUAAAUUUUGUGUUUGGGUGGAUAUUUUUAUGUUGAUGACAAAGCUCAAUCUUUUUGUUAAAGUUUAAACUUAGGAAAAAUAAAAACGAUGACGUUAAACUUGGAAUGGUGUGUUUUAAAAUCGUGUGACGAUAUUCCCCCAAAAUAUUUAUUAUAUAUAUACCUAUCAUUAUAAUUAUCGAGUUCUUUAAUUUAGGCAUUUUAAGAGAAACCGUAUUAAUUUCAACCAAAUGUUUACAUCAAGAUCAAUUAAAAUAAGCUAAGUAUAUAUGGUUUUAAUAAAAUUUGUUAACAGAUUUGCUUCAACCCCACUCCCUACCCCUUUCACAUAAAUGUUUCGAAUUAAGAAACAUUUUUUGUCACUUUUCUCCAACUCUGGGGCAUCUUAAUACCUUGAAUAUUGUAAAUAUACAUAAAGUCAUUGUUAGGGAUUUUGUGUUUGCCAUUAUUGGUGAUGCAGCAGAGAUUUGAGGAAUAUUUAGGGUUGGACGAGAUGCUCGAUAAUAAGAACAAAUCCUGUUUAUCGUUUUUAUUUCAUAAAUUUUUGGAGUCCAGUAAGCCACAAUUUUUUAAAGCUUUUCGCAAAAUAAUAUAAUGUACAUUUAAGGUAAUGCUAUCGCUCCAAAACAUUUUUUACUGUGAACCUGACAAAAAUGUUUUGUUGAGAAAGAAUAUAACUACUUAAACAUUACAAUAUAUAUAAUCCCUAAUCCCUAAAACACGAGUAUUUCGACUGGAAUGGAUUCUUUUGUUUUUAUACAUAGUAUGGUAUUUGACUUUAUUUGAGAGCUCUCAAUUUAGUAGUAUUGAAAAUAUAAAUAACAAUGAUGUGAGGAACAUGUAAAGAUAUGUAAUAAUUAAAUAGAGAAAUUACUCAUUUUUUAAAUCAUAUGGAGUUUGGGUUAUAUACAGUUAACAUAAAGUGUGACCUUAUUAUGUAAAGAGCUAUGAUUUCAAACCUGUUCAAGAACUAAAUAUGCUUUAUAAUGUUUUAUAGUUUUAGACUGACACAAAAAUUAUCAGUAGUAGGGAAGCUUUCAACAACAACAUGCUGAAGGUUAGACAAAAAAGUCACAAAUAGGUUGAUUGUCAUUGAAAUUAAGUAUGGGAACUGGACAAAAUACAAUUACUGUAGAAAAUUGUGAUACACUGGAUUAGCAUUGGUUCAGACUUUGGCGGCUUGUUUACGACAGCACAAAAUUAACGAUAGUACAGAGAAGCACACAUAAUUCAUAUAUGGAGUGCUGCAUUGUUACAGUAAUGUGUUCAAGUUGGAUGAAAAUGACACUGUUGAUUAGUGCUCUGUAAUUAACCCUAAUAUUAAUUGGAAUAAUAUAUAUUCUUCUUUUUUUA